GAGACAGCAGUAGCCACGGUAAUACGUAGGGUGCGAGCGUUAAUCGGAAUUACUGGGCGUAAAGCGUGCGCAGGCGGUUGUGUAAGACAGGUGUGAAAUCCCCGGGCUUAACCUGGGAACUGCGCUUGUGACUGCACAGCUAGAGUAUGGCAGAGGGGGGUGGAAUUCCACGUGUAGCAGUGAAAUGCGUAGAGAUGUGGAGGAAUACCGAUGGCGAAGGCAGCCCCCUGGGCCAAUACUGACGCUCAUGCACGAGAGCGUGGGGAGCAAACAGGAUUAGAUACCCCCGUAGUCCCUGUCUCUUAUAC
rnacentral:rRNA from 1 species